AACAACCUCCGAAGUUGUAAAGAAAGGAAAUAAGAGCAACGCCCAAUUUAUAGUUGACAGAGUAACUCAUUGGUCCACGGUAAAUAGAGUAAAACUAAAUAGUCACAAAUGCAAGGAAUUAAGAAUUUCCCUUGCGAAAGACCAACCAGAUUUUCAUCCGAUUGUUAUUGAUGGAGAGUGUUUAGAAGUUGUAAAGAGUGCGAAGUUGCUCGGCGUAAAGCUAACAACUAACCUUCUGUGGAAUGAUCAUAUCAAUGACACAAUUAAAAAGGCUUCGAAACGAUUAUAUUUCCUUAUCCAUUUGGAAAGAGCAAAAUUAUCACCGAAAGAUUUAGUUCUCUUCUAUA